UUGACGGGUGCGCGCGGUUUGUGUGUGUGCCAUGCUGUGUUCUACAAUGCUUCGUUACCACGUUUAUCGAUUAUGCACGUUGGUUACGUGAUUCAAUAUCAAGUGUACCUUCCAAGACGAUCUAGGUCCUAGUCUCGUGACUGACGGCGAGUGCGGACGUACAGCAGCCUUUUGACAAGACUGUCGCCGAGUGUACGGUACAUUGUGGACUGUAAAGCUGAAGAGUGCGCAGUGGAUGCCUGAUUUUGGAACCGAGUGUGAUCGUCUGGGCGGUGUGUUCACUCUGCGGGGAUGAUGGCCAGAGGAAGGAUGAUAGACAGACGACAGCUUGCAGAAGAAGAUGGGAGCGUUCUACCUGUGAGCCUGGUCGAGUUUAUAUUUUAUGGAUACACAUGCAUGGAUACACAUACAUGGAUUCCCUACAAGGACCCUGCGCAUCAAAACAAUCUGUCAUCAAUGUUAAGUAGACAGAUUAAACGAAACGAAGAUAUGACAGGUGUACACCAUAUUUUUCUUUCAUUUAACCUCUGCAUGUU